rnacentral:rRNA from 1 species
AAACUAACAAGGAUUCCCCUAGUAACUGCGAGUGAAGCGGGAAAAGCUCAAAUUUAAAAUCUGGCGGUCUUUGGCCGUCCGAGUUGUAAUCUAGAGAAGUGUUACCCGCGUCGGACCGUGUACAAGUCUCCUGGAAUGGAGCGUCAUAGAGGGUGAGAAUCCCGUCUUUGACACGGACUACCGAGGCUUUAUGGUGCGCUCUCAAAGAGUCGAGUUGUUUGGGAAUGCAGCUCAAAAUGGGUGGUAAAUUCCAUCUAAAGCUAAAUAUUGGCGAGAGACCGAUAGCGAACAAGUACCGUGAGGGAAAGAUGAAAAGAACUUUGGAAAGAGAGUUAAACAGUACGUGAAAUUGCUGAAAGGGAAACGCUUGAAGUCAGUCGCGUCCUCCGGGAAUCAGCCUUCCUUCUGGUUGGUGUACUUCCUGGUGGACGGGCCAGCAUCAGUUUUGACCGGUGGAAAAAGCUGGAGGGAAUGUGGCACCUUCGGGUGUGUUAUAGCCCUCCUUCGUAUACAUCGAUUGGGACUGAGGAACUCAGCACGCCGCAAGGCCGGGAUUCGUCCACGUUCGUGCUUAGGAUGCUGGCAUAAUGGCUUUAAUCGAC